rnacentral:sRNA from 1 species
CCAAAAUAAGCCUGCCGUGAACCAAGCAGAAGCCUCUCCAAGGUUGAUCAUUUCCUUCAUGCUGUGGUGUGGCCAGACUUAACGGAAUGUUCAUUUUCCUUCUGAUUUUGUACUUAAUUAAAUGAAGCUCCCAAAAAGAAACUCCAGCAUUUGUACAGCAAUCUCCUGAGCCUGGGGAUCACACAUCAGGAGUGCAAGGGAUGAGCCUCACCCUGGGAAAACCACCUUCAUCAUCAUGGAGUCUCAUCUGUCAUGUAUGUAUAUAUUUCAAGUUGUGAAUUUAGAUGUGUUUUCCAGACUAGUGAUAUACCAGAAACACAAAUGAUCACUGUAAUGAUAUACUAUGUAAAUCUAAAAGUGAAGUCUUUUAUAAAAAUUGUUUUGAAAACUGUAAAAUGUAAUUCAAUUAAAAGUGAGGGAAGAAUGAACCAAUUGAUGGUGUGGAACCAAUGUCUGCCUGCUUA